rfam:Tumebacillus sp. AR23208, complete genome.
ACCGUCUCGCAUAACUGGCGGAAACGUGGAGCGUACCACGAGGGAGUGCGAGAGGAACAAACAUAGCCGACCGCCUGGGCACCUUUG